ACGAACGCUGGCGGCGUGCUUAACACAUGCAAGUCGAACGGUGAAGCGCCUUCCUUUUUGGUGGGUGCGGAUGAGUGGCGAACGGGUGAGUAACACGUGAGUAACCUGCCCCCUUCUUCUGGAUAACCGCAUGAAAGUGUGGCUAAUACGGGAUAUUCUGGGUCUGUCGCAUGAUGGGUCUGGGAAAGAUAUUGUUUCGGUGGGGGAUGGGCUCGCGGCCUAUCAGCUUGUUGGUGGGGUGAUGGCCUACCAAGGCGGUGACGGGUAGCCGGCCUGAGAGGGUGGACGGUCACACUGGGACUGAGACACGGCCCAGACUCCUACGGGAGGCAGCAGUGGGGAAUAUUGCACAAUGGGCGCAAGCCUGAUGCAGCGACGCCGCGUGAGGGAUGGAGGCCUUCGGGUUGUGAACCUCUUUCGCCAGUGAAGCAGGCCUGCCUCGUUUGUGGGUGGGUUGACGGUAGCUGGAUAAGAAGCGCCGGCUAACUACGUG
rnacentral:rRNA from 1 species